rnacentral:miRNA from 1 species
GUGGCUGUGUGUGUGUGUGUGUGUGUGUGUGUGUGUGUGUGUGUGUGUGCACACGCAUGCAUGCACACACCCA